UUGAUUGUCCAAUGGCUGAUCUAAGCACAAGUUACUGUUCUGUUGGGUAAUCUGGUUUUGUUUUGAAGAGUUUUUCAUUGCCUGAUCAAAACUACUGGUUUUGAACAAUUGGCAUUUUGUGUGGGUGAAGGUUAUACUCCGUUUUGCGUUUAUCGAGUUCACUGUUGAAGAAGGUGCAAGCGCUGCUUUUCUACACUGUGAGGGUGUUGCCUUCUAAGAUAGCUAUUGCACCUGUUAACCCAACAUUCUUGCCUCCGGUUUUUCAAGCUGAUGUUAAGCUCUUUUUUGAAUCAAUUUGUGGAGAGGUUUAUCAUCUGAGGCUGCUCGGAGACUGUCACCUCUUUAAUUGAAAAUGUCCAAGAUAACUAUAUUUGUUUGUUAAUUCAUUUUAUCUGAUAAACUCUGGCUUGGCCUUGACGCCUACUACCAGAGGUGCGUGGAAUUUUUUUCGUUUCUUUUACUCAACAUGGAAAUAGUCAAUUUCUAUUAUGACUAUUCCAUUAUGACUAUGAUGCUUGGGUGGAUGAGUCAAAGCCUUACUUUCUUUCUCAAAUACUUUAUAGUUUGGUAUGAGAUCCAGAAGUCAUCACUGUCAUUCGUUUGACUUGGAGGAUGGUAGUAUGAGCAACAUUGGCUAUUCUUAGUUGUUCCGAACCCCCCUCAAAUUGGCCUACUAAUUGAUGUUUGGUUGAAUCCUUUAUAUGCAAGUUCAAAUCUUUUGUUGUUACUUUAUUAGAAUUCUUACUGGUUACACAAUUUCAAGUUUGUAUUUUUUAUUGCCCUGAGCAGCCAUUAGAUCUUUUAAAGUGCAUAGUUAAGGAACAAUUGGAAGGAACAAUAUUUUGGGGCUGCGGUGUGGUUUGAACAAGUAACCCUAUUAGAGGGAGGAGAUAACUCUUUGUUUUGUGUAUAACUUGGCUCAAUUCUUUGAUGCUGGUUUUAGAAUUUAGCUUUUUCAAGUAAAGCAAGCUUAUGUCGUUCGUUAAUUCUCUGAACAAUAGUUAUUUUUCUAAGCACAGUCUCUUAAACAUAAAGCAUACUAAUGAUUACAUUUUGGUGAUGAAAGCUUGACAACAGAACAGAUUAUUGUAGCGUGAAAAUGACUCUAAUGUCUAGAAGUUGCAAGAAAUUGGUAUGCUUUGUAGGUCACUUUUAUAUUAAAAUGUUGCACAGAGAGGGAACAUUGUUAUAAUACUAGAAUUUGCUUUUUGUGUCUGCUCUAUGGGGAUACCCUUAUGUUUAGAACUAACAAUGUACAUUCAACGAAUGAGCCGAAGAUGGACUUGAUUGUUGAGUUAGGGUGUUCAAAGUUCAUAGAACUGCUACUUUUCAUAUGUCAUUUUAGUCACCUCUUUUUACUCCGUUUACUUCAUUCAUCAGGUUAUAUGUUUGUUUUGGAUAGAUCUCUAUUGAGAUUACAUGUCAUUAUAAAAUGCAAGCUUGCUAAGUUAACUGUUUUGGUAGCGGAAUCAUAGCAGUAUUUGGAAUAUUUUUAUUAUGUUUGCUUAUAUGAAGGUGAAUUGCUUGAAUGCCAAGUCUAUCAGCAGAGCAAUAGUUCUGUUCAUAUAGAUAUUUAAGCCCUAACUAUUCAUUGGAUUAGGACAAUUAGCUGUCAUGAUUUCUCUCUGCUUUUCCUUUAUCCCAAUUGUACGUAUCAUUCUAUUUUUUGUCUGUGUUAGUUGAUCUUCUGUGGUUUUUCACUAUUAA